UGAAAGUAUAAGAAGAGCCUCCCCCAGGAGCUGAUUAAAUCCGAAAGCCUGCUGCUGGGCAUCUGUCUAGUCACUGUAGAAAGUACGGAGAUGACAGUAGACAUCAUUCUUAAAUGCUUUCUCCUUCUGAACAGGAGUUCCUUCAAAUAUCAUUGAGCUGAAAGCAAUGAAGUACUUAGGAGAUGUUUAGAUUUCUACAUCCCUUUUCCUUGAAAAGGAACCAAUGAAGAUCUUAGAAGAUGAUCUCCUGACCCCUGGGCAAUAAAUGACUUCUACUCCAAUGGAAGGAAGAGGGACACUGUGCAAAGAGAUACAGAAUUUCUGCUUCCACAACAUCCAAGGAAUGGAUCAAUAUUGGAGUGACCCCAGCUUACGUGAGUGUGCAUCCCUAAAUUGAUUCCAGCCCUAUGUUACAUUAAGAAUUUAAAACAUUAUAAUAUUAAAACACAAAUUAAAAGAAAGUUUUAAACUGCUUAUGUUAAACUCCCAAUAAUAAUUACGAAAUAGGGAAUGCAGCACAAGGCAGUUUUAUGCUCUGUCUUCCUCAGCACAGAAUCCAAGCAGUGUGAAGCUGACGAAGGAGGCCUUGCGUGUGUCCUCUGCCAGACAGCUAUAUUUAUAGCCUGCAGUUCUAUUUUACUAGCCUGCUUUUCACGUUAAUUGGACGUAUUACACUUCUUGUCGGCACUGAAUAGCACUGAAUAGCACUGAAUGAAACAUGCAGAAUCAUCACAGGAUGCCUUAAACCUACACCUGUUGAUAAACUCUACAAGUUAGCUGGCAUUGCCCCUCUUGACGUGCGACGGGAAGUUGCUGCUAACUGCGAGAGAAAAAAGGUUGAACAUUGUGAAAGCCACCCACUGCAUGACUAUCAGCCUCCUCACAGUAGACUCAAAUCAAGGAAGGGCUUCAUGAGAACCACCACUCCUCUUGACGUUCCUCCAGCAGCAGCAAGGGUGUCUCUCUGGGCAGCUAAACCUGGCAAUUCUAACUGGAUGGCCCCCCAUGUGGGUCUUCCUCCAAAGGCAAACCAAGAAUGGGCAACUUGGAAGUCCCUGAACAGACUGAGAAGCGGAGUGGGCAGAUCCGGCAAGAUCUGCCCACUCUGGCAAGAUGGCACUACCUGGAGGAAUCCUCCACCUUGUGUGACUGUGGAGCAGAACAAACAACUCCUCAUAUGUAUGCUUGCCCACAAUGCCCUGCCUCAUGUACGGAGGAGGAGUUGUUUAAAGCUACGGACAAUGCUGUUGCCUGCUUUUGGUCCAAAACUAUUUAGUUGCUUGUGAUUUUCUUUUUCUCCCCCAUCAUUUUGAAAUGUAUUUGUCGUGAAAUGCUUUUGACACGAAAUAAAUAAAUAACUUCUUGUCGGCAA